CGUAAGUCUGCUCCCACAACUGGAGGAAUGAAGAAGCCUCACCGUUACCGCCCUGGAACUGUUGCUCUUCGUGAGAUCCACAAGUACCAGAAGAGCACGGAGCUGCUCAUCAGGAAGCUUCCAUUCCAGAGGCUUGUUAGGGAGAUUGCCCAGGACUUCAAGACUGACCUCCUUCU